GAUGAACGCUAGCGGCAGGCCUAAUACAUGCAAGUCGGACGGGAUUCAGGAGCUUGCUUCUGAUGAGAGUGGCGCACGGGUGCGUAACACGUAUGUAACCUACCUUUAUCAGGGGGAUAGCCUCUCGAAAGAGAGAUUAAGCCCGCAUAAAAUCACAGCACAGCAUUGUGUAAUGAUCAAAUAUUUAUAGGAUAAAGAUGGGCAUGCGGAACAUUAGCUAGAUGGCGGGGUAACGGCCCACCAUGGCGACGAUGUUUAGGGGAUCUGAGAGGAUGGCCCCCCACACUGGUACUGAGACACGGACCAGACUGCUACGGGAGGGAGCAGUAAGGAAUAUUAGUCAAUGGGGGGAAGCCUGAACCAGCCAUGCCGCGUGCAGGAAGACGGCCCUACGGGUUGUAAACUGCUUUUAUACGAGAAUAAACCCAGAUACGUGUAUCUGGCUGAAUGUACUGUAAGAAUAAGGAUCGGCUAACUCCGUG
rnacentral:rRNA from 1 species